ACUGAAUAUUCAUGAAUGGGCAAGUAGACUCCAUCACUACCCUCAAACAGCGCUGGUCUCAGAUCAGAGACGCGAACUCAAUCACCUCAAACAGUGCGCGUAAACCCCGCCCACAUCUGAUCUGGAAACUUUUGUUUUUAGCCUGGACGUAACUUCGGCUAGCUAGUAUAGUUAGCCAACUAAUUCUCCACCGGCGCCACAGAAAUAUUCUUUUUAAACCUACUUGACUCCUCAUUAAUGGUGUUUACGACAGAACGGCAGUUUGAAGCGGAGCCUCAGCCCGCACACCUGCCGUUACAGCCCGUUCAAUCUCCCCCAACGGGAGGGAGUCGGAGCUGGCGGCCAUGAUGGCUUCGACUUCAGGCUUCUCUCCAGUAUUUUCGUGCACCGAUCCAGAGUCAGAUGUGGGCGGGGUUUACGCGCACUGUUUGAGGUGAUUGAGUUCGCGUCUCUGAUCUGAGACCAGCGCUGUUUGAGGGCAUUAUGGAGGCCCCAAAUAUGCGGCCUGCUGCAGGAGUCUUGUUGGGUGCAGGUUACACACUACACUACACUACACACUCUUCUAUUGACCCCUGUGGUUUGACCUGGGGCCCGUUUCAAGAAGGAGGUUUAACAAACUCUGAGAGUAACUAAAUUCUGAGUUGAUUUACACUGAGUUUGGAAACCUGGAGUUUUCGGUUUCAGAACAGCUGAAAAGAGUUGGUUUAAGCAACUCCGAGUUGAUUGACUCAGAGUUAAGCGCUGUCACCAUGGCAACAUGACAACAAAAGAGUAGUAUAUUUAUGUAUCAUAUUAUAUAUUAUUAUAUAGGUAUUGAACAAUAUGUUCUGGUCAGGUUAAGAUGCAGCGACUGUUCCUCAACCCUUGCAGUUUGGCAGGGUCGUUGUCUGGGGAGCAUCUGGGAUAGACUCCAGGAAACAGACAUUUACAUUUACUUUUAGCAGUAAAAUUGAUCAUUGCUUAUGAGAGAAGUACAGAGAGUAGAUGGGUUCGUGUGUCCUCAGUGACUGGGGUGAAAGCGUUUGCUUGAACUGGGUUCGCAGAAUCUGUGUUCGCAGAAUCUGUUGCGUAAACUGUUUAUCCGAGCUGUUCCUAAGGAAAUAUUCAAAAUGUCACGCCGACCUGGGAAAGGAAUUAGGAGGUUGAUGGUGGGCCAGAUGCAUACGGGAGCUGGACAGAUAACACGGCCCAGCGCCAGGACCUUCAGAGUAGCCGAGAAAAACAUCUACACGUCCUUAUUUGGACAUGUGGAAAGAUUUUAGGUGGUGGUUAAAAGCAGGCCUUCACAGGCUGGGGUUUUUUAGAGCGCUUCGCAGAGGGUCCGCUGGUAGCACACAGCGGACCUUUUCCGACCUCUCAGUUCUCUCUGCAGAGGAACAAGCAGGUGAAUUUGGUUUCUGCCUCUCUUGCUAUUACUCUUUUGUAAUCAUUAUCUGAUUGAUUUAAUUUGUCAUGUAUAAUAAAUUUGUAUGCUAUUGAUUUAAACUUCAAAGAUGAGUUCUUGUGAAAUCUCUGUCGUGGUUGAAGAGAAUAGAAAUACACGACAGUUAUGUCAAGCAUAUAGCGACCGACACGAUCAUAUCAUGGGUGUAGACUACCUAACUUUACAACAGUUGACAUAUUAAAUAACUAAAUAGCAUACAGAGUAUAUCAGUGCAGCAGGAUUUUCAACAUGGCUGUAAUGUUUUCACACAGUUAAAUCUUUUGACUUCUACUCAGCCAACAGAAAGAAGGCAGAGGCUAGACAACUGGUGGAUGACCUGCACCUCCACCACUGACGCAUGCAGAGGUGUUUGCCCCUUAGCCUGAACACUGGAAAGCAGGGGCUGAAGGAAUUCCUGGAGGGAGUUAAUCAGAACCAGUCACUCCCCAGGAUACAAGUGCAUUUGUAAAAUAUUCUGAUGGUAAUAUGUGAAUCCUCCUGUCACAACAGAAGCCCAGGAUGUUAGUGUGAAAGAACAGGAGGGGGGUCCGUCACAUUCUGCUGCACAGAUGCACACAUUACCAGUUAAGGAGUUGUAUAAACUAAAGCUCAAGGAAAUGUUAUACUUGGACCACCAGGUUGAAAAGACAGAUCUAGAAAUUGAAAUUCUCAAACAAAAGCUGGAGGAAAUGAAGAAAACCAAAUAAAUUAUGAUUUGCAUUCAUUCAGUUUCUUUUAUUGGUGGUGGUGGU